CAGCAGCCGCGGGAAAACGGAGGGGGCUAGCGUUGUUCGGAAUUACUGGGCGUAAAGCGCACGUAGGCGGCUUGGUAAGUUAGAGGUGAAAGCCUGGAGCUCAACUCCAGAAUUGCCUUUAAGACUGCCGAGCUAGCAGGUGAGAGAGGUAAGUGGAAUUCCGAGUGUAGAGGUGAAAUUCGUAGAUAUUCGGAAGAACACCAGUGGCGAAGGCGGCUUACUGGCUCAUACUGGACGCUGAGGUGCGAAAGCGUGGGGAGCAAACAGGAUUAGAGACCCCUGUAGUCCCUGUCUCUUAUAC
rnacentral:rRNA from 1 species